rnacentral:rRNA from 1 species
GACGAACCGUGCGACCGUUAUUCGGAAUCACUGGGCUUAAAGCGCGUGUAGGCGGGCUGGCACGUCGGUCGCUGAAAGCCCCCGGCUCAACCGGGGAAGGGGCGCCGAUACGACCGUCCUGGAGGGACGUAGGGGGACCUGGAACUUCCGGUGGAGCGGUGAAAUGCGUUGAGAUCGGAAGGAACGCCCGUGGCGAAAGCGAGGUCCUGGACGUUUACUGACGCUGAGACGCGAAAGCCAGGGGAGCGAACGGG